rnacentral:rRNA from 1 species
UACGUAGGUGGCAAGCGUUGUCCGGAAUUAUUGGGCGUAAAGAGCGUGUAGGCGGUCCGGUAAGUCAGCUGUGAAAGUCAAGGGCUCAACCCUUGAAUGCCGGUUGAUACUGUCGGGCUAGAGUCCGGAAGAGGCGAGUGGAAUUCCCGGUGUAGCGGUGAAAUGCGCAGAUAUCGGGAGGAACACCAAUGGCGAAGGCAGCUCGCUGGGACGGUACUGACGCUGAGACGCGAAAGCGUGGGGAGCAAACAGG